rnacentral:rRNA from 1 species
AUUGAACGCUGGCGGCAGGCCUCACACAUGCAAGUCGAACGAGUGGCGGACGGGUGAGUAAUGUCUGGGAAACUGCCUGAUGGAGGGGGAUAACUACUGGAAACGGUAGCUAAUACCGCGUACCAUCGGAUGUGCGCAGAUGGGAUUAGCUGGUAGGGGAGGUAACGGCUCACCUAGGCGACGAUCCGUAGCUGGGCUGGGAGGAUGGCCAGCCACACUGGGACUGAGACACGGUCCAGACUCCUACGGGAGGCAGCAGUGGGGAAUAUUGCACAAUGGGCGCAAUCCUGAUGCAGCCAUGCCGAGUGUAUGAAUAAGGCCUUCGGGUUGUAAAGUACUGUGAGCGGGGAGGCGUUACCCGCAGAAGAAGCACCGUCUAACUCCGUGCCAGCAGCCUCGGUAAUAC